rnacentral:rRNA from 1 species
AGUGAACGCUGGCGGUAGGCCUAACACAUGCAAGUCGAACGGCAGCACAGUAAGAGCUUGCUCUUACGGGUGGCGAGUGGCGGACGGGUGAGGAAUACAUCGGAAUCUACUUUUUCGUGGGGGAUAACGUAGGGAAACUUACGCUAAUACCGCAUACGACCUACGGGUGAAAGCAGGGGAUCUUCGGACCUUGCGCGAUUGAAUGAGCCGAUGUAGGAUUAGCUAGUUGGCGGGGUAAAGGCCCACCAAGGCGACGAUCCGUAGCUGGUCUGAGAGGAUGAGCAGGCACACUGGGACUGAGACACGGCCCAGACUCCUACGGGAGGCAGCAGUGGGGAAUAUUGGACAAGGGGCGAAAGCCUGAUCCAGAAAUGCCGCGUGAGUGAUGAAGGCCUUAGGGUUGUAAAGCUCUUUUACCCGGGAAGAUAAUGACGGUACCGGGAGAAUAAGCCCCGGCUAACUCCGUG